rnacentral:rRNA from 1 species
AUUGAACGCUGGCGGCAUGCCUAACACAUGCAAGUCGAACGGCAGCACGGCAGUAGCAAUACUGUGGGUGGCGAGUGGCGGACGGGUGAGGAAUACGUCGGAAUCUGCCCAGUCGUGGGGGAUAACUAGCCGAAAGGUUAGCUAAUACCCCAUACGACCGAGAGGUGAAAGCGGGGGACCGCAAGGCCUCGCGCGAUUGGAUGAGCCGACGUCGGAUUAGCUAGUUGGUGGGGUAAAGGCCCACCAAGGCGACGAUCCGUAGCUGGUCUGAGAGGAUGAUCAGCCACACUGGAACUGAGACACGGUCCAGACUCCU